AUCCAGCUGACGAGUCUCAAAUAGGACGAUGUAGCGCGCAUCCUGGAU
rnacentral:hammerhead_ribozyme from 1 species